GACGAACGCUGGCGGCGUGCCUAAUACAUGCAAGUCGAACGCAGUGGGGACGGGUGAGUAACACGUGGGUAACCUCCCAUCAGAGGGGAUAACCCUUGGCAACAGGUGCUAAACCGAUACUGAUGGAUGGACCCGUGGUGCAUUAGCUAGUUGGUGGGGUAACGGCUCACCAAGGCCACGAUGCAUAGCCUGCGUGAGGGGGUGAACGGCCACACUGGGACUGAGACAAGGCCCAGACUCCUCCGGGAGGCAGAAGUAGGGAAUCUUCGGCAAUGGACGAAAGUCUGACCGAGCAACGCCGCGUGAGUGAAGAAGGUUUUCGGAUCGUAAAACUCUGUUGUUAGAGAAGCGGUAGCUAACCAGAAAGCCACGGCUAACUACGUGCCAGCAGCCGCGGUAAUAC
rnacentral:rRNA from 1 species